UUUGAACAGCAUUUCUCAUUUGUAACAAUUGAGUUUUUUCUCCCACAAAACCUAGUGAAUUCUUAAACGUAGUGGAUUUUCAGACCAACUUGGUCACGAGUACGGCAUUUGUGGAAGAAAUUUUCCGGAGAACACAUCAAACCACCAGACCUCAUUAGGAUCAUGUGUGUUCUUCUAACAUUUUAUAAUCUUGUCCGCGCUUAAUUUUCUUAGAAUGUCGUGUUGUUCAUCUUAUUUGUUAGGCCGCCUAGUUGAAUCAACUUGUACUUCUCUUUAACCAAACCCAAAAAAUAAAAAAUAAAAAUAAAAAAGAAAAACACUUUUACUUCUAAUUUCUUGAAUUGAAAUAUGUAUCAUUUUUAUAACUGGCACACAACCGGACUCCGUAAAAUAUUUUUUCUGAAAAAUAAAAUAUUUUUUUGUUUUUACUCUUUGAGUGUUUGACAAAGAUUUAUAUAUAGGUUGAGGUUGAAUUUAUCGGUUAGGGAAUGUAAAAUAACUUGUCAAAAUUUGAAGAAUAAGUUAUUUUUGUUAAAUUUUAAUUUUAAUUUUUUGUUUUUUACAUCCAAACAAGAGUUGGAAAGAAGAAAAAGAAAUAUGCAAGCUGCUGGUGCUUCUUAAUUUUAUUUUUGCAUUCUAACUAUCUCUAUAACUAUUUGAAUUUUGAUUACGGAUCUCAGGUACAUGGUGACCUACCACGCUUGGUUCUGCAUCUUCAUGAUGAUGAUCUCUCUGUCCGUCAUGCUUGUCGGAAAACCCUAAAAAGGAUUUCCCCACUGUUGGAAUCAGAAGGAACAUUUGCCCUCUACAGCACACACUCUUUUAAUUCUGACCACCGGCUUUUGAUGCUCCUUGGCCAGUUAUUCAAGCAAAUGCGAUUUACUUCUCCAGUAGCUUGCUCUCUCUCUCAGAUGAUCAACGGAUCUCUGUUCUUUAUUGUAAUCAGGUCUUGCUCAGAUGCACGCAAUGUCGGUUAUAUGUGUUUAUUUAUUGCCAAAGCAAAUGCAUUAAAAUAAAAUAACUUGUUUUCUCUUUAGUUGUUUGGUAUUUUGGUGGGAAAGAUGAGUCGCUCUCCGGAAGCAAUUGUCAGAGCAACUUGCUUUUCAGCCCUGGGCCUGCUACUAAAAUCCACCAAUUCUCUGUCAUGGAGAUCUGCUGGGCUUGAUCGUGUUGACUAAUCUAAUCUAGGCUCACAACAUCAGCUUUGUAAAUUAGGUUAGAGUAUCUAAUCUAGAUUCUAGGUUGCUUCAAACUUGUGUUUGAAGAAUCUAUUCUAGAAUCUAGGUUUUUAUUUUCGUAAACUGAUGCUGUGAGCCUAAAGCUGUAACGAUUAUUGUUGUAAAUUGAAGUUGUGAUCGGCGUGUAAUUGGUCUAUUGGAUCUGUACUUUCGACAGAAGCGAAUAUUGUUGUACAUUCACUUAUAGUUUUCAAUAAUGGAAGUUAA